GAACCCAUAACCACCAACUGGAGGCUUUUUUGCAGCAGGAAGAUUUUGAAAACUGCUAUCCCAUGCACACCCUCUGGAAGCUCACUGAAAGACUUCCUGAUAGGCAAAGAUCACUGUUGAAGAGAUGGAAAGGAGCCCACACAGUGGAAGGCAAGUGAAGCAAACUGGAUCUGGCUGCUGCUGCCAUUGAUAUUCUUAAAGCUUGGAAGAAGUGGAAGAUAGUCUGUGUGGUUGGGCCAAGGGAUUAUUUGGGUUCAACUGAUGUGCAUGGAUUAAGGACUCAACUCCGAAACUGUGGGAAAUUAAUGAUUAUUCUCCUUCUUCAUAGUGUAAGAUGACUGUGUCUUAGCUCACUCCAGACCAAUUUUUUUUUUAUCUGUGGCACUGUGUGCCUGACGGAUUCAUGCAAUGAUUUAUCAAGCACAAAACCAGCCACAAGAAACAGACUGAGAUCUAUGAAAGAGCAUUUCUUCAAGUAAAAC
rnacentral:lncRNA from 1 species